GCCCCGCCCAGCCCGGCCCGGCCCGACCCGCCUGGUUCCGGUGUCGCCGCGGCCCGCCGACUGCGGACUCGCUUCCUGGUGUCCCUGCUGGACCGCAGGUCGAUGCUCAACCCUGACCCACGCCGGCCGGGUGAUUAAUAAGCCUUAGUCACCGCCUUAGAAACUGCAUUUCUGUCCUACUCCGGAGAUGGCCGCCCAGUGUGUGACGAAGGUGGAGCUGAACGUGUCCUGUGACAAUCUUCUGGACAAAGACAUCGGGUCCAAGUCGGACCCUUUGUGCGUGUUAUUUUUGAACUCGAGCGGACAGCAGUGGUAUGAGAUCGUGUCCAGUAAGAAGCUGACGCGCCCACUGGCGCUGAGGAACGGCAGGCCCGCGGGGAAGGGCAGCAUCACGAUCUCAGCUGAAGAAAUCAAGGAUAACAGAGUGGUCCUGUUUGAAAUGGAAGCAAGAAAACUGGACAAUAAGGACCUGUUUGGCAAGUCGGACCCUUACUUGGAGUUCCACAAGCAGACGUCGGACGGAACCUGGCUUCUGGUGCACCGAACAGAGGUUAUUAAAAACAACCUGAAUCCUGUUUGGAGGCCUUUUAAAAUCUCUCUUAACUCCCUGUGCUACGGAGAUAUGGAUAAGACUAUUAAGGUGGAGUGCUACGACUAUGACAGCGACGGCUCCCACGACCUCAUCGGGACGUUCCAGGCCACCAUGACGCAGCUGAAGGAGGCCUCCCGGAGCUCCCCCGUGGAGUUUGAGUGCAUCAACGAGAAGAAGAGACAGAAGAAGAAAGGCUACAAGAACUCCGGCGUCGUCAGCGUGAAGCAGUGUGAGAUCACGGUGGAGUGCACCUUCCUGGACUACAUCAUGGGCGGAUGCCAGCUGAACUUCACCGUGGGAGUGGACUUCACCAGCUCCAGUGGGGACCUGCUGUUCCCUGACUCCCUUCAUUACAUCAGCCCCAAUGGUGUGAAUGAGUACUUGACCGCCAUCUGGUCUGUGGGGGUGGUCGUUCAAGACUACGACGCGGAUAAGAUGUUCCCGGCCUUUGGGUUUGGAGCUCAGAUUCCCCCUCAGUGGCAGGUGUCGCAUGAGUUCCCCAUGAACUUCAGCCCGUCCAACCCCUACUGCAAAGGGAUCCAGGGCAUCGUGGAGGCGUAUCGGGCCUGCCUGCCUCAGAUCAAGCUCUAUGGACCGACGAACUUCUCCCCGAUCAUCAACCACGUGGCCAGGUUUGCUGCUGCAGCCACACAGCAGCAGACGGCUUCCCAAUAUUUUGUGCUCCUGAUCAUCACCGACGGCGUGAUCACAGACCUGGACGAGACCAGGCAGGCCAUCGUCAAUGCCGCCAAGCUGCCCAUGUCCAUCAUCAUAGUCGGAGUGGGCGGCGCCGACUUCAGCGCCAUGGAGUUCCUGGACAGCGACAGCGGGGCCCUGCGCUCCCCGUCGGGAGAGGUGGCCAAUAGAGACAUCGUGCAGUUCGUGCCUUUCCGACAGUUCCAGAACGCUCCCAAGGAGGCGCUGGCCCAGUGUGUCCUGGCCGAGAUCCCCUAGCAGGUGGUGGGCUACUUCAACACCUACAAGCUCCUUCCCCCCAAGAAUCCUGCGACCACCAAGUGAAGGCUCUGACUGCGCAGACAUCAAAUCUCAGUGAUGCCUGGUUACAUCAGGAAGCAGGGCCACCUGUGAACGCCUGCUGUAGGUAUCUGAUCAUCUUUAGACAGACAUAGAGUUUAUAGACGCCUGAUAUUCAAUUAUGACAAUGAUGCUUUGGGUAAAUUUCUGGCUGAGAACUUUUGAACCUGAGUUUGUGUUAUGUAACGAACAAGCAACAACUAUACUAACUUUGUGUAGGAGGGGGUAUAUGUGCCUGUAAUGCAAACCGGCUCCCAGAAGCCGGGAGCCUCAUACUCUGCCAUAAGCAAGCUGGGGACCCAGGAAAGCUGAUGCGCAACAGCCUGAGCCAGAGGCCCGAGGACGGGAGAACCAGGAGCUGAUGGGCUAAGUCAGGUCUGGAUCAAAAACCCAAGAACCAGCAGUGCUUAUGUCUGAUGUCCAAGGGCAAGAGAAGGGGGCCGUCUUGAAGCACCAUCUUAUAGAAAACUGCUGUUUGAAACGUUUACCCUGCUAUUUUGGCUUCUGUAAACGCUUGCUUGCUUAAAUAAUAAGUAAAAUAAGUCUGACAACAGUGAGCUCUCACUUCCUCUCACUACUCAGUCAUUCCUUCUUCCAACACCUGUGCAGCCUCCACCUGACUAGCACGACCCAGGCCUCGGGACUGCAGAGCUGCCGGGGCCAAGUCUCUGGGGGAGGCAGGGGGCACCUGGGAAUGCGCAAGUCCCUGUUUUCCCAAUGCUCUCGCAAGUCAGACCUGUAAUAAGUGGAAGCAGGAAGCUUACAAGUUUUGUGACCUAAGAUUUUUCUUUUAUGACAAGCGGCGGACUGUAGUUGGAGGUGUCUUUCAGGUACCUGAUUUCUCCGAACACUGUCCCAGCUUUCAGAGUGACCAGAACUUGAGCUUCAUGGGCGCCUCCAAGAACCCGGACUUCCCCCUGCUUCACGAUGUACAUUUCCUUGCCGAUUUCUCCCUGUGCGCCAGACAUAAAGAGGAACUUUAUUCCUGACAGUUACUCCCCAAAUGAGGAAACAGAAACGUUUCUAGAGGAAAACAUGGAGAAGAAGGAGGAAGAAACACCAAUGGAAAAGCAGUCGCCUGGAGGCCUGAGGCAGUACAGCCACUGGGUGACACAGCGCGUGGAAGGAAGUUACUAGGACCUGUGAGCAGUGAUGCCCGGGCGCGUGGGUGCAGCUCAGCCAGCACUUGCUCCGGGCGCGGCGGCAGAGGGAGACCUGGCUGUCAGCAUGGCCACGCCGGUGCCGUGAGCACUGCUUUGCUUUGGAGAAGGCGCCCAGUCUCCCCGAAGCACCUGCGCUACAACCAUGACUCGCCAGCCUGACUUCUGCCUACAGCACCGGGCCUGGCUUUAGAAACGGGGCUGUUUAUGCUGCCAUCCUUGCUCCAUGCCGAGAGCAAAGUGUGAGUGCCGCGGGUUCCUGCUUAUCCCGGGGCUCUUGGCGCGGGCAGGACCCUGCCUGCUUCCACGGCCCCGGGGGAAGGCAUUACUCUGGUGCCCGAGGCACAGUGGCAGGACACACCCGCUGUCAGCGCUGUUUAAUGGAAGGAGAGAUGUGUGAGGCGUACUUGGCAUCUACUUUGGAGUCUAAACCAUGGUUGGUCCUGUAGCUAUGUGACCAGCCUCAUUUAAGAACAAUAAAAUGGCAAUAAAUACAUAGCUAUCAACAAUUGAAUCUAAAAAACAAAUGAACCAGCAGAGCAAAAACCAUGUAUGGGGCCAAGUGGGUACUAGACUCACCGAGGGCGAUCGCUUUGUAAGUUAUACGUGUCCAACCACUAUGUUGUACACCUAAAACUCAUACAAUAUUUCAACUAUCAUUGAAAAAUAAAAACUGAUUAAAAACCCCA